UAAUCCAUAGAUGGCCGUUGGAUUGUCUGGUUGAAAGGAAAGAAGUAGCACAGCAAAAUUUAGCUUCUUACCUGGAUUCCACUUGGGCUCCUCUAUUCAGCUGUAGGCAGUCUGUUUGUGAGCAGGAAGGUAGGUGGUACGUGCUAGCCUGCAGAGUGUCAUUUAGGAGUAUUUCGUCGAAGAAAUUGAUGAGUGCUAGCGCAUUCUUUCGUGAACGUGACAGAGAAAGUUGUGACACAGAUGUCGCGUCCUCGAAAUCCGGGUGAAAUGAAAAGGCAAUAGCCAAAAGAACUGAUACGAAGACUUCGAUAUGUCUGAGUUUUACGAUUUCUUCUGGGGCACUGCUGAAACAAACAGGAAUUUCGACAUAAACAUUGAAACAACUGACACACCAUUGGCACGCAGUGUUGCUUUAGAAAGUUUCAGAAGCUUAGUUCUUGCUCGUCCCGAUGCCGGGAGUCUACGAUCUGAUGAUGAAUUCCUAAUCCGAUUUCUGGCAGCAAGAAAAAUGAAUGUUCCAGACGCCAUGCUGGUGUAUAACAACUACUACAGUUUCCUGCGUCGCAAUCACGAACUAAUUUCUGACUAUGGCGUCGACAAUGUCGAGGUAAAGCAAGCCUUGGAAGAUGGGCUACCUGGAGUGCUGCAGCAGCGAGAUCGUCGAGGACGUCGUAUCAUGGUUUUGUUCGCUGCUGAAUGGGAUCCGAGCCGAUACUCGGUCUCAACUAUACAAAAGAAACGAAAUGCAUUUAUGUUACAGGCCAUUCAUAUUUCACUUGAUCUGCUGCUACAGGAUUCAGUGGUUCAAGAUAGAGGCUUAGUUCUCAUAAUUGACUGGAGUCAGUUUUCCUUUCGGCAGUAUAGCAAACUCCAGCCUGCUGUCCUUCACUCCAUAGCCCACGGAUUGGAAUAUUGCUAUCCGGUGCGUUUCAAAGCGAUUCACUGCGUUGGGCCGCCUUGGUACGUCGAUGCAGCUAUGUCGCUUCUGAAGCCAUUCUUACGUGAAACGUCGAGGGCAAAGAUUUUCAGCUGUGGAAAUAACUUGUCCAUCUUGCAUCAAGCUGUAUCGCGAGAAAUUUUGCCAGCUGAGCUCGGAGGGGAGCAAGGUCCAUAUCUAUCUUCCAUUUGGAUAGAUAAUCUAAGAAGAGCUCAAGUUUGAGUUUAAAAGAUUUGAUUACGAGAAGAAGGAGUUUCCUCGUUGAGUAAGAAACGAACAACAUAACAACAACGUUCGCAUCAACUUGCUGUAGGGAACAUACCGCAAUUAGUUUAGCAACAUCGAUCAUCGAUCGGAGAAAAAUGAAUUGGUAGUUUUCAACUAACUUCUGAUACCUCUAUCAACGUAAGGUACCCACACACAUCUUUUGAAAGACAGUUCAGAUAAGUGUGAACGAAUCAAAGAACAAAAACGAGUCCGUAACCGUCAUAAAGAACAAAUGCAAAUCACGCCAUUCAAAGAGAGAGGAAAAAAAUCACUUAAUUUGGACUUGUUGGUGCUUUUCCCAAGGAAAAACAAGACAACAUCUUUCUUUUCCGUCAGUACUGUAAAGGUUGUAGCUGUCAUCGGACUUCGGCUGCUUUCACACGAGCAAAAGCGCCAGUUCAUUGAGGGAAAGUAGAGCAUUACACCACUUACCAAAGUAGUUAAUUUUAGAUGUGCGUAACGAAAAACGUGUAAUUACCAUGAGGAAGCAUGGAAUGGACGCUAUCAGUGCCCAGGACAGCUGCCACAAAUUGAUGAUGCCUCACGUAAUUUUCCUCAAGUUUAUUUAACUUCUCCAGCUCGAGUCCAUUCUUCCAAGCAAUCACUACUUCACGUGCAAUGGAUAACACCUGUUGUAGGAAUUGUCUGAUCAGAAAAUAUGGGUACUUCCCAACUUCUACACUUGUUAUACCUCGUUGAUGGCAUCGCGCAAAAAGGCCCCCGACGGUUGUUGCAGGCAUUGUUUAUGUAUAGAAAUAACAUAUUCUUGGUGGCUGUCGAUUAUUUGACCAAGAUGAACUGCAUUUUCUAGUUGCAUAUCCAAUCGAAUAUGUGAUGAUUCUAAAACACACUCCAUUAUGUAGUUGUCCACACUAGAAAUAAAAUAAAGCAGCCAAGCCCGUAA